AAGGUUAUUCACGGAAGAUUAUUCAAGGAUUUUUCGAGGGAGGUUAUUCAAGGAAGUUUCAAGGACGAUUAUUCAAGGAAGUGUAGAUGUUUGUGUAAGAGUGAGCGUCUCUGGACAUCAUCCAAACCAAAGUUGAACGCCAUUUCGCCCUUCCUCACCCCUGGCUUCCCAUCGAGGUACAAGCACGCUGAUUGGUGGGAUGGAGCAGCGUUUACGUCAAACCAUUCAUCACGGACGUUCGCCGAGACUCACUCUUAGCGUAUUGCGGAGCUCUCCGCUGUUAGAUUCGGCGAACCAGAGGACGACUUCACUUCCGGAAGAGCAGCGCGAAAAUGGAAUUAAACGAGACUUUUGAUAUCAAGAAUAUAAUCAUCCAAAUAAUGAAGAUGAAUGCCUCAGCGAAGCUGUAGCACUUGUAGGAAAUUAUUUCUGAGAAAAACAGAGCAGCAUUUUCUGGACCUUUGAUUUUGGGCACCAUAUGUAUCUGCUAUGUAAAACAUGAGCAUAAAAGGCAAGUGAAGAAAACACCAAAAGUUCUUGUGCAAACAAUGCAAGGAGUUUCUCUGUACCUUCUUGUGCACUGAAGACUGCCGGACGUCUAAGGACUUUACUUCUGUAUAAAAUGUUCAGGUCACAAAUUAUUUCACACUUGCUGGUAAAUUUCAGGCUGAAUAUUUUGUACUAAGAAGAAAGCUGUGUGUGGACUAAAGUUUAUGUGUUCUUAUUAAGCAGCAGUUUGUUUGUGGAGCUUCAUUGUGAAUAUGUGUUCGCCGCUGUGGUAUUCAGUUUUGUCAAUUGUGGAGUUUUAUUGGAUAUCUCGUCUAUAUACCAUCCAGUUAUCUUCAUAGUGGAGUUUUUUCAUUCUGGAUAUGUCUUCACCUGUGCAGCAUUCAGUUGUCUUUAGCCAGGAAGUUUUGCUAUAAUUCACAUGUGUAAUAUUUAUUUUUUUAAUAUAUUUUGGAUGAAUUCAUUAUUUACAACCAUUUCUAGUCAAUGGAAUCUACAUCAAGACUGAAUAUGCUUCAUUUUUUGAAGAGGAGUGUAAAAUCCUAUCAUUUGUGCGACAGAAAAUUGAGUGAAAUGGUGUACUUGCCACAUGGAAAAAAUUAGCUGCAGUGUCACCUCCAUGGUUGAUCUUUAUUGCCAUCAGGAAGAGAUUGAAGGGGAAUUUGUUCACAACAAGAAACAUGUACCGACUUGAAUUUUUACCCUCCUACGAAUGAUGUUUUAUCAGUUGAUGAAAACGAUUUUGUCAACGUGACAUUCUGGAUUAAGGAGAUGGCAUGUAGCCAGACGAUUUUUUUUCAUAAAGUGACUGUUCAUACCAAGACAAACACUGGUAUUCGUGAGUAUGACGGUACGGUAACAUACAGUAAUGACAAGUGCUCUGGAAGACAGUCUAUUCAGUGCAUCAGUCCGACAGGCCCAGCAACGUUGUACAAACAAGUGAAUCGAUCUCAUGUGCUAAUCGAAUGGGAACUGACGUCAAUACCAUCUGGUGACUUUAUAUUAAUACAGAAGAAGCUCAAUGUUUUGUAUCCACCUGAUGUCACAAGUUUCACUGUGAACGGAAGUGAGGUCAGUGGUAACUAUCUGAUUAAUGAAUUCCAAGAGGUUAGCAUCUCCUGCACCUUUGACCCAGGAAAUCCACCACGCAAAUUCUUUCUGUUGGAUAAAGCUGGAAAUGAAAUAAAAGCUACUAGAGGUGAAGACUCUCUCAACCUUUCACUGACACUCAGGUGUCAACACGACUGGCCCACAGUCCGAUGUGAGGGAAGCGGCUCGAAAACUGUGUCUUUCCUUGUCAGAUGUCGUCCUCAGUUUAUUGACAGGUAUCCAACAGUUGUGAAUAGUGGAACAGUGAAUAGUGGAACAGUUUACCGUUGGAUGUUUAAUGUGAAGGCUUACACUACUGUUGUAGAAAAAUGUCUUCUGACAUCAUCAUCUGCGCACAAUUCAAGCAUCUUAGUGAAGUGUACCCUGACUGGUGAUCUGCCUUACCCGCUGUUGAUUGUUGUCAUUUUUGAAAAUGUCAGUAUGGCAAGAACAACCUGGUUUUUAAGUCUGUGUGUUGAAGGAGGUCUUUCAGAGACAUUGAACUUCACAACACCCCAAAGUGAGUAUAUUUUAAACUCUUUCACAUACUUCAAUAAACUAAGGGCAUAGUAACUUUUAAUCCCAAAUCCAUCGUGAUAAAAGUUUCUUUAAAAACACACGACCUUGAAGGAUGUCUUAAGACUAGGGAUAGCGGUUGAAAACGUUUGGAUAAACAUCCUAAUCAACACCUCAACAAAUGUAAUUGCCCUUAUGGAUUGAUUAAGUUGUAUUGUAUCAAUAAAGUUGAAGCUGUUUGUUCCCUGUAUUCUGAACUUUAAAAAUCUUUACUGAGACUAUACUGUGACUCAUCCUUUCCGUUAACAGCAUUAUUAGUCUACUGUUAAAACGGAAUGUUUCUAAUUUCUAUCUUUUGAAUAAGGAGAUAGUAAAUAUGAAACAAUAUGAUUUUACUGUCUUUCAAAACCAGCAACAGCAGAAAACUAGAAAUUAAUUGUAACGACCUAACAAAAACGAACCCGAAAGCUCCAUCCUGAAUCUUAUAGAUAUCUCAUAUGUUUCCUUCAGUUAUUUUUCAAAUUGUUUUGUAAUUUUAUCUUUUAUUUCUAUACUGUGUUAUGAAACUUAGACUAUGAGUUCUUUUGUUGUAUGCGCAUCAAUUAUGCGUAGUACUGCGUCUGCGUACAAUCACCGUGCUGUUCACAUAAACUAUAUUGGAAAUGUGCAGCAAUGGAAGAGUAUUAAGACAGAGGUGUGUGUAUGUGUCUGGGUGGGGGAUCGGCCAAAUUUAUUAUAUUUUUUCGGCAGCGGGACGAGGCAGAUGACACUGGAGACGGUGAGCCACUUCCCUUGCCAGUGUCUUAAACCUCGGGUAGGGAGGAACGCGACUAUUUUCUCAGCUUCUUAUUUUUUACUGACAAGGAAUAGUCAUCCCUCUUAGUGCUGGGGCUAGAAAUUUCCAGCAGACCUUCUCCCUAUGUAAUGCGAGUGUGGGUAAAAGGCAAUAGGAGAAAAAACAACCAUGCUGAUCGGAGAAUAUGGGUUUUACCGCAGUUUUUCUAUUUCGCGUUCCACUGUUGACACAUUUCCAUCGAAGAUUACAGUGAAGUCUGAGAAGGAGACAAAAGUUUUCUCUAAUAUCGCUAGUCUCCAUCUACGGCAGUGGAAUGUUAUUUGUUCUCCAUAUUCAGAGAUACAGGCACGGACCUCCACACCUACUAUGCAGUAAGAAUUUUGAUUUUAAUGAUUCGUUACAUAUUAUGUUUUAUUAUCGUGUUUGAUUGUCUUCUUUUCUUUUAAAAUAAAUUUUGUGUCGACUGGCACAGUCAUUUGGUUAGGGCGGAGGUAUGAAAGCUGAAAUCCAUGUACAUGUUUCAUAGUGUGAAUCAACUGACACCGAACAAACUCCACCACAAAGACAUAUAUUCUUUCUCUUUCAUAUUUUAUUUACUUCCUUCUUUUGAUUUCCUUUGUAGGAGAUUUUCUAUUUAUUUAUUCAUCUUGAAGUGCUAUUUUAAGUUCCAUAAUACAAUCAUUUUACUGUGCAAAACUUAUAUUGGUGCGAAAAAGAAUAUUUAUGGGAAGCUUCCAUUCCCAUAUGCUAACAUCAUUUUUGAUGCACAUGUUAUUAGACAAUAAUCUAUGUACAUACACUUAAAUCCAAACUAUCAGAUAUUCCAUCACACCCUCCAGAUACAGUUACGAGCCAGUCAAAGCUUAAAAUAUAAUCUUUAUAAUGUUUAUAUUGUAACACCUGCUACAGAGAGUAACCACGGUUGAAGGAAGUGCGAUUAGAGAAUUAUAAUAUAGUGGAACAUGAAUAACAUGAAAAUGAUCUGUUAUCUUUACAUACAAAUUUGCCAAACGUUCAAGAUUUAUGCGUUUAAGAAGGGAUUUGAACCAUAAGCCGUGAAGUCUGACUACAUCUCUGUGCUUGAAGUCCGAGAGUAAAAGCGUCGACAGGUGAGAUGUAUGAGUAGUCUCCCCACAGCAACAGAAAGGCUCAGGUAAGCUCACCCACCCGUUACUUGACUUCACAAGAAAAUGAUGAAAGCGAGUUUUCUACCAAAAAAAAAAAAAAAAUGUUUACUAUUCUUCCUUAGCGUGCGUCAUCUACAAGACAGACACGAUUAAGAAAAACAAAAUAACUUGCAACUGAUAAACACAAGCUAGCUAUAACCGUUGUCAAUGGCAAUAUUCUGACUUUGUUAAGAGAUCGAUUCUAUUGUUUUUUAUUGUCGCAAACCAAGAAUUAAAAUCCUUUUUCGUAAAUCUUAAGUGCUUUAAAAAAUAGCAUCAAGAUAAAUUCGUGGAUAAUUUUGGUAAAAAGAAAGGUUUUAAGCAAUGAUUUAUGUAAGCUAAUAAGUAUCAUAAAACAGAAAAAGUUCGACCCAAAGCAGCAAACGUUCGCUAGCUAAAGAAAUUUUUAAUGUAAUUUACGGGUAGAUAAUAUGGAAGUGAUGGAAGGAUAGUAUUUGUAUUGAAGAAUUGGUAUAAUAGUGACAUGAUAGUGUAUUUGUGCCGAGAAUGGAGAAAUAAACUAUUGUACAAGUAUUAUUCACUCGUUGUUCAUAGAAUGCUUUUCGAAUAUUUGACAGGCGGGAUGACUGACACUGCUCAAGCUGAUGAUGCUCGUGGCUCAGCAAAGAUAAUGAAGCGUUCAACCGUUUCCCGCGAGAGACACCCAGAUGGGUUGAUUUACGGAGACUUGGACUUCACGAGUACGAGACCAUGUGAUGACGUCAUCGACACCCUGCCGGAAAUGGAGUACGCCGCCAUUAACCAAGUGAUUACAGACGAAAGACCAAUAAGAUCAUUUAAAAGAAAUGUAUUGUUGGGCAACAGAUAAAUAUACGAAAUAUUACAGACUAUCAAUAAUCCCGCUUACAACAACAUUCUUUUUCCUAUAUGCUCAAAAAAGAAAAAUGUAACGGUCUGACCGCAUGGUAAGCUGACUUACUCAAGCCUGUAAAAUGUACACAAUCAGUAUAAAAUUAUGACAAGAUUGUCUGAAACGAUUCCCUUUUACUCAAAGAGCUUUAAAUAGCUUUGAAUCCACAACUAUUUGAAUUUAGCCUUUGCAGUUGAGCUGAGUGUAUAAAAUAGCUUUCCAUCAUUUAUUUCUUCUCUUUAUUAUUUUCUGCAUUUGAAAAUGAAAAUUUCAAUAAUUUGAAUUACUAUAUUACCUUUCCUCUUUUCGAAGUAGAACAAUGGAUAUAUCAAAAGUGAAGGACUUACAACAUUUUAAGUAGAAGAAUAGAGUGUGGAAUUACCAGCUCGUCACAAACACAGGGCUCAUUGUAAGCUUCUUUACAGAAGAGGCUUAGACAACCACAGAUUUCUUGAGAUUUCUUAAACAGCAAACGCUCGAGAUACGUUGGGAAGUGUAGUGAAAACAAAGAAAUCUUCAUUAAUUUAUUUUCAAAUUAUUGCCCCUCAUUCUCACGCUCUCACUAGUUUAUUUAAGAGAGAGACCUAAUUAUCCGUUACAUACACACGUGUGACGUGGGUGAGGAUUGAUGAAAAGGUGGAUGUGUUUUAUUAUUUACAGAAGACAGAUAAAAUGAACUAUGAGUCAUCAAGAAGAGCAGAUGUGUGCCACUCAAUUUCAUGGAAUCAUAGUUUCUAUAAAUCAAAAAGGUUUUGUAACUGUCUUCUACAUUUGAUACCCGCUAUUAGACUUAAAAGAAUGAAACCAUGAAAGCCUGCGAAGCUUGGAUUUGACAACAUGUGUGUGUUAUUGAGAUAAAGUGUAAUUUAUAAGAACGCGGAAAUAUCGCACUCUUGUCUUGAACCAUACUAUUUAAAUUAGCUGUACAUCCUUAAUAUUGAGAACGUCCUCCUUUAGUCUUCCUAAUCAUAAAGUAAUCAAGGGCAGCGAGAGAUAGAGAGAGAGAGAAAGAGAGAGAGAGAGAAGGAGAGAAAGAGAAUAGAAGAUAAGAGAUAAAACAUACAAAUAUAAACACAAAUGUUAUUAUGUGCCACUUACAGUCAAUGAAAAUAUGUAAAUAUACUGAUAAAAAUGUUUUUAUUUCUUAGACCUACCUUUUUUGGUCAUGUCUUUUGCAUUAUUUUCUAGAAUGCCUGUUAUUAAAUGUCUUAAUUGUAACAAACCAUUUUAAACAAAUCCCUGUGUGAAAGUUUAUUCAGAAACUGAGACAUACAGAGUCACGAAUACUCAAUAUUUAUAAUUUUUUCUUUCAACUUUCUGUCUUGAAGGAGGCAAACAGACUAUACCUCCUGAUUUUAAGUUCUGUUUUCAAAUAAGUUCUCGCUUUUGCAAGUAACCCAAUUAAACAAAACAAAAAAAAUUAUAUCAAAAGAAAACACCAUAUUUCAUAUUUUUGAAAAUCAUUUUAUAGACUGAUAUUACUGCCGUCUGCAAAUCAAACGUGCAACGGAAAGGUUAUCUCCCUUAAACAUAACAUUGAUCAGUAUUAUCUGAACACUGUACUAAACCUCUUUCAAAAUUACGCAUUUUUGUGAAUCACUUAGAAUGACACUGCACAAUAUUUUCUAAAUAAAUUAAUAAAGUGGUCAAGUUUUUAGUUUUUCUAGGAAUGCUGGUUGUUAUCAAUGACUAGAUAUCUCCUUUUUAAACUAAUGAGUGCAGUAUUCUAAUUUAUCAGCAUUUCAUCAAGGGGGACAAACUAGAAAAGUCAUCGUAAUCGAAACGGGCGCCAGGGUAGGUAUAAUAAUUAUGUGUGUUUGUAUGUUUUCAUAAUUUGAUUAUCCAGUAAACUUAAUGGAAGUUUGAGUGCGGGGCUGUCUGACAGGCCAGACCAAACACCAUAAGCGCAGGCAAACAGCAAACUUCUUGAGUCUUUGAUACCGAGAUGAGAAACCGAACUAGUAAAUACAAACAGAAUAAAUAAUUAUUUGCAGUUGAACCCGACAAUCUGGCCAGAGUAAAAGAUGAAUUAAGAUAUUAUUUCGUUCUUCAAAUCCCAUCUUUAUUCAUCUUAUUUUGCAUAGAUCACACGACCAUUCAUUGCUAUUGUCAUUAAUGUUACAUAGUAACUUUUUUGGAGUCAUUCACCUUAGAGUUUUAUGAAUGUUUCACACCAUUCACCACUUCUGUAUGUGAAGUCAAAUAAUUAAAUUGCUGUGUUCAAG